rnacentral:misc_RNA from 1 species
UCAUCUGCAUUCUCAACAAGUUGGUGAACAGAGAGGGUUGCAUUGUAUGGUUCAACAACAGUGUCCGACACCUUUGGGGACGGGAACACAGAGAACGUGAGCAUCAUUCGGUCUGGAUAUUCUUCUCUGAUCUUGGAAAUGAGUAGCGUUCCCAUGCCUGAUCCAGUACCGCCUCCCAAAGAGUGGCAAACCUGAAACCCUUGCAAGCAGUCACAGUUCUCGGCCUCCUUCCUCACAACAUCGAGCACCGAGUCAAUCAACUCAGCUCCUUCGGUAUAAUGCCCCUUGGCCCAGUUGUUUCCGGCCCCGGACUGCCCGAAAACAAAGUUAUCGGGCCGGAAUAUCUGCCCGUAUGUCCCGGAUCUAACACUGUCCAUGGUGCCAGGCUCCAGAUCCAUGAGGACGGCUCGUGGAACAUACCUCCCGCAACUCGCCUCGUUGUAGUAAACAUUGACUCGCUCGAGUUGCAGAUCAUUGUCCCCUUGAUACCUUCCCGUGGAAUCGAUCCCGUGCUCGGCGCAAACCACUUCCCAGAACUUGGCACCUAUCUGGUUGCCGCAUUGGCCUCCCUGGAUGUGAAGGAUCUCACGCAUUUUGAUUCGAAGCGGUGAGUUCUGGAUAGAGAGAGAAAAGUACCGAGAAGAAAAGAACAGAGAAAG